rfam:Fusarium fujikuroi IMI 58289 draft genome, chromosome FFTJ_chr10
GCCUCUAUAGCUCAGCGGUAGAGCGUUGCACUUGUAAUGCAAAGGUCCAUCGUUCAAUCCGGUGUGGAGGCA